AUUUGCCUGAUAAUUUACAAUCUGUACUUCUUUAUUUUUUUUUCCUCUGUGGCUUUAUUUUUCAGUUGCUGUCUGUCAGCCGGAGGGAAGGAGGCUGUUGCUCAUUCUGUGCCAUCUCUGUUAGAUCUGCUGGAUUUGAGUCCUCUGAAAUAUCAUAAUCACAGGCAUGGAGGAAAUUAGUCUGGAAAAAUACUGAGUUUCUGAAAAAGAUUUUCUGAAAAAAAGAUGGAAAUCAGAUGUAAAUUGGAUCUAUACUUUUGGUUAUUAC
rnacentral:lncRNA from 1 species